rnacentral:lncRNA from 1 species
UUCACCCAUUAUGCUUAGACCUGCGAGACCAGCAAGACAGGACCAAGAGAAACUGGUAGCAACAGGAUCUGAAUAAAUGAAAAAUGCAAGAAGAGAACCCAGUAGCAGCUGAACAUCACCUCUGAUACCUGUGGGAUGGUCUGCCUCUGAAGGUGACAUUGUCCAGAUAAGAAAGCUGAAGAGAGAGGUUACGAUACUUGCCCCAGGUCACAUAGCAAGCAUAUGGCGAUGUUUGUUAACUCAGGUGACUGGCCCUGCCACAGGAUGUGAGUUAUCUUGGCUGAAACUGAAGAAUGAAACAAUGCAGGUGCAGUUUGGGGCUCACAGGAAGGAAGAAGAGGCUCCUGUUGAGCCUGAAGAAGAGGCACAUUCUCAGGUCUGACUCUGUCUUCCCUGUUGUUUUGAACCAGCUGCCUUUGGGUUCAGAAAGGUUAGAGUGGGUCUCAUCUCCCCUCCUGAAAGAUGUGAAGACAUCAGCCCUGAAGGAGUCAGCUGGGUGGUUGAGGAUGAGUCAGUCAUUUUGUGUAAGGAGCAGUAGGUGCAUGUCAUCAGGUCAAAGUCUUUGACACCCUUCAUCAAUUCCGUCCUUUCCGAGUUGCCUUUUAAUGAUGCUGAUAGAACAACUGCUUUAAACAACUUACUGAAUUUUCCAGCCCGAGAAGAGCUAAGGGAUUAUUGAAUGUCAUUUCUAUCAUUUUAUGGAAAUAAAAGGCCCAGAGAUGUGACA